rnacentral:ncRNA from 1 species
UUCCCCCAAAUGCCUUUUUGCCUUUGGGGGACCCUUUAUGCCAGUCCCGGAAGGCGUUGGUGUUUCGGCUGGUGAGACAGGGAAGCAAGUUCUCUGUGAGUGCCCAAGGUUAGCAGAUUUUCGAGAUCUGAGGGGGAUGGGUAUAAGUGAGGUUAGUGGCGGGUUGGACGUAAGUCAAUCACUCUCCACUAGUGAUAGGGUUAGAAGAAUGAGUGAGUUUGCUAGAGCUGCAUUUUCCAGGCGACGUUUGCAAUUGCAGGAAGGAAUUGUAUGAAUGAUGAUGGAUGGUAGAUGUGAGAAUGUGGGGGUACGAAUGUGGGGGUGUUUCUGAAUGGUAAUUUUUGUUGAACAUUGUGUUGUGAUGGGGCUACCAACCCUUAACUGUUUGGAGUUUAAAUUGGAAGUGCCCUUCUGGUACGAGGCCUGACCGGAGGCUUUUAAUCUGGUACCACGGGUAACCAGGAGCCCACGGAACUUGUUCCGUCCUGGUUAGUUGGUGCGGCCCUUCGGGGAGUAUCGUGGUGGUUGUGGUUUAACACCCAAAUGCGGGUAGAGCAUCGCUCGACGUGGAGUUGCGUCAUACAACCGGGUUCCGUGACCCAGAUUACGGAAGAGGCUUAGAUAGUCCUCGUGCCAAACCAAGGUAGAAGUCACAACCAAACAGUCGUGUCUUUAAUUGGUACCUGCGGAAUUGUUCCAAGGGGGCGGUGAUUGACGCUUGAAUUAAUCCUAUACUAGGAACCGUGAGAUUAAGCCAUCGCGGCAGGUGCUCACGUUAAGCCCACUGACUUUCAUGUCCCUAUCUACUAUCUAGCGAAACCACAGCCAAGGGAACGGGCUUGGAAUAAUUAGCGGGGAAAGAAGACCCUUUUGAGCUUGACUCUAAUCUGGCAGUGUAAGGAGACAUAAGAGGUGUAGAAUAAGUGGGAGAUAUUAGACUUCGGUUUGGUAUCGACAAUGAAAUACCACUACUCUUAUUGUUUCCUUACUUACUUGAUUAAAUGGAACGUGUAUCAUUUCCUAGCCAUUAUACGGAUAUAAUUAUUAUGUCUUAUGGUAUUGGGUUUUGAUGCAAGCUUCUUGAUCAA